rnacentral:rRNA from 1 species
GCCAGACUCCUACGGGAGGCAGCAGUGGGGAAUAUUGCACAAUGGGGGAAACCCUGAUGCAGCGACGCCGCGUGAGCGAUGAAGUAUUUCGGUAUGUAAAGCUCUCUCAGCAGGGAAGAAAAUGACGGUACCUGACUAAGAAGCCCCGGCUAACUACGUGCCGGCAGCCGCGGUAAUACGUAGGGGGCAAGCGUUAUCCGGAUUUACUGGGUGUAAAGGGAGCGUAGACGGCAAUGCAAGCCAGAUGUGAAAGCCCGGGGCUCAACCCCGGGACUGCAUUUGGAACUGUGUAGCUGGAGUGUCGGAGAGGCAGGCGGAAUUCCUGGUGCAGCGGUGAAAUGCGUAGAUAUCAGGAGGAACACCGGUGGCGAAGGCGGCCUGCUGGACUGCAACUGACGUUGAGGCCCGAAAGCGUGGGGAGCAAACAGGAUUAGAUACCCCCGUA